rnacentral:rRNA from 1 species
GUGACUGCGUACCUUUUGUAUAAUGGGUCAGCGACUUAUAUUCUGUAGCAAGGUUAACCGAAUAGGGGAGCCGAAGGGAAACCGAGUCUUAACUGGGCGUUAAGUUGCAGGGUAUAGACCCGAAACCCGGUGAUCUAGCCAUGGGCAGGUUGAAGGUUGGGUAACACUAACUGGAGGACCGAACCGACUAAUGUUGAAAAAUUAGCGGAUGACUUGUGGCUGGGGGUGAAAGGCCAAUCAAACCGGGAGAUAGCUGGUUCUCCCCGAAAGCUAUUUAGGUAGCGCCUCGUGAAUUCAUCUCCGGGGGUAGAGCACUGUUUCGGCAAGGGGGUCAUCCCGACUUACCAACCCGAUGCAAACUGCGAAUACCGGAGAAUGUUAUCACGGGAGACACACGGCGGGUGCUAACGUCCGUCGUGAAGAGGGAAACAACCCAGACCGCCAGCUAAGGUCCCAAAGUCAUGGUUAAGUGGGAAACGAUGUGGGAAGGCCCAGACAGCCAGGAUGUUGGCUUAGAAGCAGCCAUCAUUUAAAGAAAGCGUAAUAGCUCACUGGUCGAGUCGGCCUGCGCGGAAGAUGUAACGGGGCUAAACCAUGCACCGAAGCUGCGGCAGCGACAUUAUGUGUUGUUGGGUAGGGGAGCGUUCUGUAAGCCUGUGA